GUGCUCGUUUCGUCAGCACAUAUACUAAAAUUGGAAUGAUAUAGAGAAGAUUAGCAUGGCCCCUGCGCAAGAAUGACACACAAAAAAGAUAGUAUACAAGUAACAGUUAU